rnacentral:rRNA from 1 species
GACGAACGCUGGCGGCGUGCUUAACACAUGCAAGUCGAACGGAAAGGCCCUGCUUUUGUGGGGUGCUCGAGUGGCGAACGGGUGAGUAACACGUGAGUAACCUGCCCUUGACUUUGGGAUAACUUCAGGAAACUGGGGCUAAUACCGGAUAGGAGCUCCUGGUGCAUGGUGGGGUUGGAAAGUUUCGGCGGUUGGGGAUGGACUCGCGGCUUAUCAGCUUGUUGGUGGGGUAGUGGCUUACCAAGGCUUUGACGGGUAGCCGGCCUGAGAGGGUGACCGGCCACAUUGGGACUGAGAUACGGCCCAGACUCCUACGGGAGGCAGCAGUGGGGAAUAUUGCACAAUGGGCGGAAGCCUGAUGCAGCAACGCCGCGUGCGGGAUGACGGCCUUCGGGUUGUAAACCGCUUUCGCCUGUGACGAAGCGUGAGUGACGGUAAUGGGUAAAGAAGCACCGGCUAACUACGUG